GUGAAGAAGGCCUUCGGGUUGUAAAGCUCUGUUGCUCGGGGAGAGCGGCAUGGGGGGUGGAAAGCCCCAUGCGAGACGGUACCGAGUGAGGAAGCCCCGGCUAACUACGUGCCAGCAGCCGCGGUAAAACGUAGGGGGCGAGCGUUGUCCGGAAUCACUGGGCGUAAAGGGUGCGUAGGCGGUCGAGCAAGUCUGGAGUGAAAGUCCAUGGCUCAACCAUGGGAUGGCUCUGGAAACUGCUUGACUUGAGUGCUGGAGAGGCAAGGGGAAUUCCACGUGUAGCGGUGAAAU
rnacentral:rRNA from 1 species